rnacentral:rRNA from 1 species
UAUUGCACAAUCGGGGAAACCCUGAUGCAGCGACGCCGCGUGAGCGAAGAAGUAUUUCGGUAUGUAAAGCUCUAUCAGCAGGGAAGAAAAUGACGGUAUCUGACUAAGAAGCUCCGGCUAAAUACGUGCCAGCAGCCGCGGUAAUAUGUAUGGAGCAAGCGUUAUCCGGAUUUAUUGGGUGUAAAGGGAGCGUAGGCGGCCUGGCAAGUCUGGUGUGAAAUACCGGGGCCCAACCCCGGGACUGCAUUGGAAACUGCCAGGCUGGAGUGUCGGAGGGGCAAGCGGAAUUCCUAGUGUAGCGGUGAAAUGCGUAGAUAUUAGGAGGAACACCAGUGGCGAAGGCGGCCUGCUGGGCUUUUACUGACGCUGAGGCUCGAAAGCGUGGGUAGCAAACAGG